rnacentral:rRNA from 1 species
GUCCAGACUCCUACGGGAGGCAGCAGUGAGGAAUAUUGGUCAAUGGCCGGAAGGCUGAACCAGCCAUGCCGCGUGAAGGUCAGUGCCCUAUGGGCGUUAAACUUCUUUUGUGCGGGAGCAAUAAUGGUCACGUGUGGCCAGACGAGAGUACCGUACGAAUAAGCAUCGGCUAACUCCGUGCCAGCAGCCGCGGUAAUACGGAGGAUGCGAGCGUUAUCCGGAUUUAUUGGGUUUAAAGGGUGCGUAGGCGGUCGGGAAAGUCAGCGGAAAAAGCCGGGGGCUCACCCCCGGCGAGCCGUUGAAACUGUCGGACUAGAGACGGCGAGAAGUACGCGGAAUGCGCGGUGUAGCGGUGAAAUGCAUAGAUAUCGCGCAGAACUCCGAUUGCGAAGGCAGCGUACCGGCGCCGGACUGACGCUGAGGCACGAAAGCGUGGGUAUCGAACAGGAUUAGAUACCCCUGUAAG